UAUAACUAAUCUCCAGAUACCCCCAAUAAAGCAUCCAAAUUAUAACAUGAAAUAGGGAACCAUCAAAAUAAAAUGUAGUGGUACUGAGUUGGUGCUCUCGUACAUUCACUAUCCCAGUAUCAUAAGUACCACCAUUAAUAUUAUAGCUAUAACACGGUACCUCCAUGAAUAUAUUAAUUUACACAAAAUAUAUCAUACUAUUCACAUCCAUAAGAGGUCAUAACCAGCAACCCUUUUAAGUUUGGGUAGAAACAUGUGCAGCCCAUAAGUGGCUAUUAGAUGGCUAGUCUCGGCAGGAAUUCAAGAAAAGUUGAAAGCUCAUAAUUCUUUCCUACCUAGACAUUGAACAAUUCAUACACAAACUCUUGAAUCCCAGUGAAAAGAAAGAAAAACUAACUACCUCUGCUAUUAAAAUUCUAAUUGAAAAGACAAAUACCCGAUGUAGAAACUUUUGGUAGAAAAAUAUAUAAAAUGUUGUUUUACUCCUCCCUCUAUUCUAAAUUGAACCUCCAUGUUUAACUUUAGCACAAAUAAGAAAAUGGCCCCUGCAAAAGUGUAUUGCUAAAGUUAGAGAGCAUGAUACCUUUCAACAUGAAAAUGUUUUACUGUUUUUAUUCCCAAGAAACUUCUGGUGUUCCCUCAACAUCUUCAAAUUCUUGCCCUUGCUUAACUAUACAAACUUGAAAUUUCCUUUUUAGCAUACAUAGACAUAGGUAGUGAACUGAGUGUCUUUCGUAAGUCCUAUUUGCUCGAAAAUUUUGUGUAUUUCCAGAUUACUAAACUAUUUUAUUCCUAAGGAUUUUCUUAAGGUAGAGAGGUAACGGCUGCUUGGGAUCAAUCACAACGUAAUAAUCUAGCUCAAGCAAGUGUUGUGGCAUAUAAAAUUGGUGCCCGAAAAAAUAACAAUUUCUGUUUAUAGAGGAAAACACUAUCACACCAAAGCAAGAAACAGAAGUACAAAUGAGUAACAUGCAUCUUUUUUCCUUUUAGGAAAAGUUUUAAAGACAAUUCUAACUUAUAUUACGCAGUCGGUACUCAUCUGCCUAAAUGUUGUAAUAUUAUCAACUCUGGGAAGACCUCCUUUGAGGUAACGAAGCAAUGUUUUCUACUCGAAUUACAUAUAAUUUCAGUCCACAAGUUCCCCAGAUAUCAGAUUCACAUUUGACAAGUUAAUUGAAGAGAUAAUGGAAAUAAACACACUUGAACUAUUACUUCUCCGCGAGCUUCACACGUGAACAAUUGGUUGUUCUCCUUUUCUUUUCCUACUUGAACUAUCACUAUGUGCAUAUCAUUCUUGAUAACUUUUUCAUGAGUUUCACCCGCGAACAAUUUGUUCUCCUUUUCUUUUCCUAACUAAACUAUCAUCAUUUAUGUAUUAUAAGGGGAAAAUGAUGGUUUUUAUGUUCUUUUGGAUAGCACAGGACAGGUUAAUUAAUGCCUCAGACUGAGAGUUGAGGUGAUGCCUCUACAGGUACUCCCGUAGCCAAAAUCAAAGCUCUACCUCUCUUGCUUCGUCUUCCUCUGUUACGUUGAUAGUUUUGCCCCUUCAGGUAUCAGCUGAUUACUUUUUCUAUAAUUGUUCCUCAAGAUUUGAUAUCUUCUUUCUUUCUGUUGUUAGUAAUCCAUCCUAUGUGUGUUACUUUUUCAUCAAUUCUAAUACUCCCUCCGUCCCAAUUUAUGUGGCACUUUUCAUUUUUCGAGAGUCAAACAAUUUAAGUUUGACCGAGAAUUUGCGCAUCGAAUCUUCAAUUUUUUGAAAUGAAAUUUAUAUAUUUGUAAACUACGUAAAAAGUACUAUAAGUCACAAUAAUUGAUAAUUCAAAAUGCUUAAAAGAUCUAUGAACAAUUUACGGUAAAAAAUAAACUUGUUUGAAUCUCGAAAUCCGAAAAGUGCCACAUAAAAUGGGACGGAGGGAGUAAUUCCUUCGUAAAAUUUGACUACAUCCAGAUCCUAAGAGACUACUAAGAGUGACAACAAUGUAGAAAAUAGAGAGAACCAAGGUAGCUUAUCGAUCUAACCACUGGCAUGUAGAACAGUUUGCAACAGGGGAACUAUUUACAUUGUUAAACUCUUUAAAAUGAUGCAGUUGUCUUGCAAAGUUUUGAUCUUUUUACUCCCAAGUUAAUUGAAGAGAGAACGGGAUUUCACACGUGAACAAUUGGUUGUUCUCUUUUUCUUUUCCUACCUGAACUAUCACAAAUAUAUAUCAUUUUUAAUAACUCUUUCGCAAGUUUAACACGUGAACAGUUGGUUGUCCUCUUCUUCUUUUCCUGCCUGAGCAAUCAUCUUCUAUGUAUAGUAAGAGAAACAGUAAUAUUUUUUUAUGUUCUAGUGGAUAACGCUGGACAUGUCAAUUAAUGUCUAAGACUCAGAGUCCUUAUAGACCAAUAAGAGUGAUAGCAAUGUAGAAAACAGAGAGAACCAGAGAGUAGUUUAUUGAUCUGAUCGCAUAUACAAUACGGAAAAAGUAACUCAAUAUUAUCGUCAACCAAAAUUACCACUUACUAAGAGCAAAACCUCGUGAACUCCAGACCGAACUUCUUUUCAUUACUACACGUACAGGGCAUUUUUGGAAGGGGAAAAAUCAAAAAAUGUUUCCUUUAUUCUAAUUUAUAUGACACAUAUGCAAUUUCGAGAGUUAAUCACAUUUUAAUAUGCUUUUCAAAUAUUUUCUUUAUUUCCAUUUCAUUUUUAUAUUCUUUCAUCUGUUCAUGUGAAAAUUCAUCAGAGGUAAAAACAUCAGUCUUUUGGUUGAUCUUUUAGGACCUAAUGACGAAAUAACUCAAAAUUAUAAGCAGAAGUAAGUUAAAUUUUUCAUUGAAAAUCGAAGCAUGAGUCAGCAAUAUUUUCAAAUUUAAACUCAAAUGUGAAGUACACAAUAAUCUGAAAAACCCCUUGCAGCUAUAACCUUAGGAUGGUUUCAAUAACAAAUUUUCCCCAAGUCAAAAUAACAUUAGGUUUAAACCGAAGGUAACAAUUUAAAGUAACAAAUACAACAUUGAACAGAUGGAAAGAUGCAUUAGAAGAAGAAAACUCAUCAAAUCAGAAACAGAAGCAUACCUUUUUGUUCGUUCAUAAAAGAGAACCUCUGAGGAGUUGAUUUGAAUCAGCACAUAGUGAAUGUGUUGUUUUCCAUGGAAAUAAAGGAGCUUUCAAAAACACACGGCAACUGAUGACGGAAAGGCAAAGACGACGCCUUCCUUUCGGAUGACCACAAGGGAUAUGGAAUGCAAAGAUUUUUAGAAUCAGCUACCACAGAUUAAAGGUGGAAUUGAAACACACGCGUCAACCAAAGAAAGAAAUUGAAAAGAGAAAUUAC
rnacentral:lncRNA from 1 species